rfam:Myotis lucifugus cont2.6555, whole genome shotgun sequence.
AGUGGUUCUUGGGUGAUGCACCCGGGAAUCAGGCUCCCUCCUCUCUGGUUCCGGGUGCUUCACCAGAGAACCACA